CAAAACAAGUUUAAUAAUAAGGAGCACACAUAUAGCUUGAUAUCUGAAUUGCUUCCCUUGCUGAAACAUAUCUAUCAGAACCAAUUAAAUGAGCUGGAAGUAAAGCAAGGGGAUCAAGAAGGUGGAUUUUCUGGUGUACUUCUUCGAGUAUAUGAGCCUCACAAUGAGCUUGUUAACUGUAAUUAUUGCAGGACUUCACUAGUGGAUUUUCACA